UCCAGAUUAGAAGACUGAAUAACAGUAUCAAAAGGAUCAGCUGAGGACAACUCCUGCAAGGCCAUAAUUUAAACCUGUAGGUGUUCUCUGACACAUCAAAUUGUAAGCCCGAAAUCCAAACAUAGUCUAGACCCAGGACGACCGGAAGUGCAAGACAUGGAUUUAGCAAGACAACCACAGAUGGUGUCAUUGAUGAGGGUAAAAGAGAAGCCAGUGUCCAGGAUAGCAUUUCCUUUCCAGGAGCCAACUGUAACAGGAACCAAUAGCUGUUGUGGUUGAUACUGAGGACAAGCUGAUGGAGGAUGGGAGUUUUUGCAACGCCAGCAGUGAACUUGUGGGGUACUAGCUGCUGCCCAAGACGAACCAAUGCCUCCACAGUGGCAACACUGCUGCUUCUUAGCUGACUAGCUAGUUUGAGGUUUAUGUUUUUCUAUGUCAUUUUGACAACUUCCUGCUCAGUGAUGUUUGGAUACCACCUUUUACAUAGGGACCUGUACAUAUAAGCAAAAUCGUGAAUGUUUUCAUUCUCCCCCUGUAUUCGAGUCCUGACUCUUCAUCCUGGUAAUCUUCAGACAAAAAUGCAGAACAAAAUCUGUUCUCAAACUCUGUCCAUGUUGUGAUAUCCAGGCGGAGCAACAUCCCACCAAUCACGAGCAGUACCAUGUAAAACAUUGUGAAUUGUAGCAAUUAACUCAACAUCAGUUAGUGGUUGUAAAGCCAGAAAAUCUUUGCAUUUUUCCAAGAAUAAUAAUGGAUCUUGUGGAUCCUCCAUCCUUCCAAACAUGGGGAAUUGCACUUUGAUGGGGCUUUUUCCAUGGUAGGUAGCUCUGGGUUCAUUGUGAGUUUCUGAAUGUAUAGGAGAGAUUAGUUCCUCCUCAGGACAUUCAGGUAAAAGGGUAGAUUAAAGUCUUUGUCGUUUAGUUAGUGCAGGUUGGCUGUAUGGUUGCGUUUUAACCAGCAGAGUCUGCACAGAAGCAUGAACAAAUGUCGGGGGCUGCAAAGAUGUUGUUAAGCUACGAUGGCUCACUUCCUCUGAUAAUGUGAUGAUGUUGGCUGCAGUGUGUGACUUCAUCCUCCAAGUGUUUAAUUGCAGAUGCCAUGGGGGUAAAGACAGAUUUGAGAUCUGAUAAAAGUUCUGCAUGAUAUUGUUUCAAGCGCCAGUUUAUUGUUGAAUUGAAUUGAUGAUGAAUGUAUUGAAAAUGUUUUUCAUCUUUUCCUCCAGUUGCUUUAAUUGUGAAUCAC